UUACACUGUGAAACAUUUGCAUGAUUGUAUUUUGGUUUCGCCAUCAGCUAAACAGGGAAAAGUUGUUUCCCAUCUCCAAGGAACUCUAUCCCACAUUUCCUCUAUUGACUUGGAGUUUCAGUUUUGCUUACCUGCUUCCUUGAAGAUACUGUGCUGUUGAAACAUCUAUUAGAGGCUCAUAGGCGGAAGGGACUUGCCUUGUCUUGGAUGAGACUUGAG
rnacentral:lncRNA from 1 species